UAAUCUGGCACCUUCGGUGUCCGAGUUGUAAUCUCUAGAAAUGUUUUCCGCGUUGGACCGCACACAAGUCUGUUGGAAUACAGCGGCAUAGUGGUGAGACCCCCGUAUAUGGUGCGGACGCCCAGCGCUUUGUGAUACAUUUUCGAAGUGUCGAGUUGUUUGGGAAUGCAGCUCAAAUUGGGUGGUAAAUUCCAUCUAAAGCUAAAUAUUGGCGAGAGACCGAUAGCGAACAAGUACCGUGAGGGAAAGAUGAAAAGCACUUUGGAAAGAGAGUUAACAGUACGUGAAAUUGUUGGAAGGGAAACGCUUGAAGUCAGACUUGCUUGCCGAGCAAUCGGUUUGCAGGCCAGCAUCAGUUUUCCGGGAUGGAUAAUGGUAGAGAGAAGGUAGCAGUUUCGGCUGUGUUAUAGCUCUCUGCUGGAUACAUCUUGGGGGACUGAGGAACGCAGUGUGCCUUUGGCGGGGGUUUCGACCUCUUCACACUUAGGAUGCUGGUGGAAUGGCUUUAAACGACCCGUCUUGAAACACGGACCAAGGAGUCUAACAUGCUUGCGAGUAUUUGGGUGUCAAACCCGGAUGCGUAAUGAAAGUGAAUGGAGGUGGGAACCGCAAGGUGCACCAUCGACCGAUCUGGAUUUUUAAUGAUGGAUUUGAGUAAGAGCACGUAUGUUGGGACCCGAAAGAUGGUGAACUAUGCCUGAAUAGGGCGAAGCCAGAGGAAACUCUGGUGGAGGCUCGUAGCGGUUCUGACGUGCAAAUCGAUCG
rnacentral:rRNA from 1 species